rnacentral:tmRNA from 1 species
GGGGGCGACAAGGUUUCGACGUUGAUACUGAAGUUUUAUGUGCAUGUCGAGGUUCAGGAUCCUCGUUAAACAGUCUGAAAUAACUUAGUUGCAAAUAACGACAACUACGCACUAGCUGCUUAAAUCCAGCUGGCAUCAAUACUUUUCUACUUGGAGAGACUUAUUGAUGACAUUUAACCAAGAUCGUGAUUAUUCUCUUUCUUGCAGAUAAUCAUUAAACAUAAGUCGAGAAAUCGUUUAAUAAUAGCCUUCCUUUCGGCUUUUAUUAAAUUAAAUAAAAAGAAGAUCUGGAUAAACAUGUAGAGCAUUUUAUGAAUGGUUAGCGGACGCGGGUUCGAUUCCCGCCGCCUCCAGUG